AUUGAACGCCGGCGGCAUGCCUUACACAUGCAAGUCGAACGGCAGCGCGGGAGCAAUCCUGGUGGCGAGUGGCGAACGGGUGAGUAAUAUAUCGGAACGUGCCCAGUCGUGGGGGAUAACGUAGCGAAAGCUACGCUAAUACCGCAUACGAUCUAUGGAUGAAAGCGGGGGAUCGCAAGACCUCGCGCGAUUGGAGCGGCCGAUAUCAGAUUAGGUAGUUGAUGGGGUAAAGGCUCACCAAGCCGACGAUCUGUAGCUGGUCUGAGAGGACGACCAGCCACACUGGGACUGAGACACGGCCCAGACUCCUACGGGAGGCAGCAGUGGGGAAUUUUGGACAAUGGGCGCAAGCCUGAUCCAGCAAUGCCGCGUGCAGGAUGAAGGCCUUCGGGUUGUAAACCGCUUUUGUACGGAGCGAAAAGGCUUCCACUAAUACUGGGGGCUCAUGACGGUACCGUAAGAAUAAGCACCGGCUAACUACGUGCCAGCCGCCGCCGUAAGAC
rnacentral:rRNA from 1 species